GUGUAAUAUGAAAGGAGAGACGUUUAUCACUCCGUUUUAGACAAGGAUGGAACACAUAUAAAUGGUAAGGCACUGUCGUCUUUCGGCGACACUUGCCAGAUUUUUUG